GGUAAUGCCGGAUGCUCCGACUCCUCGCAUGGGGUGUCGGGAAAGAUUUCAUCGGUAUGGGAUGGGGUCGCGUCCUAUCAGGUAGUCGGCGGGGUAACGGCCCACCGAGCCUACGACGGGUAGCCGGCCUGAGAGGGCGACCGGCCACAUUGGGACUGAGAUACGGCCCAGACUCCUACGGGAGGCAGCAGUGGGGAAUAUUGCACAAUGGGCGCAAGCCUGAUGCAGCGACGCCGCGUGCGGGAUGACGGCCUUCGGGUUGUAAACCGCUUUUGAUCGGGAGCAAGCCUUCGGGUGAGUGUACCUUUCGAAUAAGCACCGGCUAACUACGUGCCAGCAGCCGCGGUAAUACGUAGGGUGCAAGCGUUAUCCGGAAUUAUUGGGCGUAAAGGGCUCGUAGGCGGUUCGUCGCGUCCGGUGUGAAAGUCCAUCGCUUAACGGUGGAUCUGCGCCGGGUACGGGCGGGCUGGAGUGCGGUAGGGGAGACUGGAAUUCCCGGUGUAACGGUGGAAUGUGUAGAUAUCGGAA
rnacentral:rRNA from 1 species